rnacentral:rRNA from 1 species
AAAUUGAAGAGUUUGAUCAUGGCUCAGAUUGAACGCUGGCGGCAGGCCUAACACAUGCAAGUCGAACGGUAACAGGAAGCAGCUUGCUGCUUUGCUGACGAGUGGCGGACGGGUGAGUAAUGUCUGGGAAACUGCCUGAUGGAGGGGGAUAACUACUGGAAACGGUGGCUAAUACCGCAUAACGUCGCAAGACCAAAGAGGGGGACCUUCGGGCCUCUUGCCAUCAGAUGUGCCCAGAUGGGAUUAGCUAGUUGGUGAGGUAACGGCUCACCAAGGCGACGAUCCCUAGCUGGUCUGAGAGGAUGACCAGCCACACUGGAACUGAGACACGGUCCAGACUCCUACGGGAGGCAGCAGUGGGGAAUAUUGCACAAUGGGCGCAAGCCUGAUGCAGCCAUGCCGCGUGUAUGAAGAAGGCCUUAGGGUUGUAAAGUACUUUCAGCGGGGAGGAAGGUGUUGUGGUUAAUAACCGCAGCAAUUGACGUUACCCGCAGAAGAAGCACCGGCUAACUCCGUGCCAGCAGCCGCGGUAAUACGGAGGGUGCAAGCGUUAAUCGGAAUUACUGGGCGUAAAGCGCACGCAGGCGGUCUGUCAAGUCGGAUGUGAAAUCCCCGGGCUCAACCUGGGAACUGCAUUCGAAACUGGCAGGCUUGAG